GACGUAGGUGGCGAACGUUUAUCCGGAAUUAUUGGGCGUAAAGGGUGCGUAGAUGGCCUGAUAAGUUAGCAGUGGGAAAUCGAGGCUCAACCUCGUGGAAGCUGGUAAUACUGUCAAGCUCGAGUGCAGGAGAAGUUAACGGAACUUCCAUGUGGAGCGGUAAAAUGUGUAGAUAUAUGGAAGAACACCAAUAACGGCGAAGGCAGUUAAACUAUUCUGUUACUGACAUU
rnacentral:rRNA from 1 species